CACCAAGUAAGCAUUUUAUCAUCUCAUUAUCACCACAAAGAUGCAUGAUGAAAUGUAUGAAAUGAUAUAAUGUCUGGGAUUUGCUUGAAAAUAAUCACAGCUGUGGGAGGAAGUAAGAAUACAGACAAAACAACAAACAAGAUUGGGCAGGAGCUGACCGUUGUUUAAGAUGAUCACAGGAUUAUGAAGACAAAAGGGGAAAAGAAAGAGAAGAAGAAGAAGCAAAACAGCAGCAUCAAAAACUGUAUGUGAUCCAUAAAGCCUAAAAUACUUAUUAAAUGCCAA
rnacentral:lncRNA from 1 species